rnacentral:rRNA from 1 species
CCUACGGGAGGCAGCAGUGGGGAAUAUUGCACAAUGGGCGCAAGCCUGAUGCAGCCAUGCCGCGUGUAUGAAGAAGGCCUUAGGGUUGUAAAGUACUUUCAGUUGGGAGGAAGGCGUUGAUGCUAAUAUCAUCAGCGAUUGACGUUACCAACAGAAGAAGCACCUGCUAACUCCGUGCCAGCAGCCGCGGUAAUACGGAGGGUGCAAGCGUUAAUCGGAAUUACUGGGCGUAAAGCGCACGCAGGCGGUCUGUCAAGUCGGAUGUGAAAUCCCCGGGCUCAACCUCGGAAUUGCAUUUGAAACUGGCAGGCUAGAGUCUUGUAGAGGGGGGUAGAAUUUCAGGUGUAGCGGUGAAAUGCGUAGAGAUCUGAAGGAAUACCAGUGGCGAAGGCGGCCCCCUGGACAAAGACUGACGCUCAGAUGCGAAAGCGUGGGGAGCAAACAGGAUUAGAUACCCGAGUAGUC